UCCCUGGUGGCUCAGAGGUUAAAGCAUCUGCCUGGAAUGCAGGAUACCAGGGUUCCAUCCCUGGGUUGGGAA
rnacentral:tRNA from 1 species